GUUAUGGCUAGGGGGUCAUGGCGACUUACCAAACCAUGGCAAACUCCGAAUACCUGCAAGUACAGCUUGGGAGACAGAGCACCGGGUGCUAACGUCCGGACUCAAGAGGGAAACAACCCAGACCGCCAGCUAAGGUCCCCAAAUAUUGCUAAGUGGGAAACGAAGUGGGAAGGCAUAGACAGUCAGGAAGUUGGCUUAGAAGCAGCCAUCCUUUAAAGAAAGCGUAAUAGCUCACUGAUCGAGUCGUCCUGCGCGGAAGAUGUAACGGGGCUAAGCAAUAUACCGAAGCUGCGGAUGCACAUUUAUGUGCAUGGUAGGAGAGCGUUCCGUAAGCCUGCGAAGGUGCAUUGAAAAGUGUGCUGGAGGUAUCGGAAGUGCGAAUGCUGACAUGAGUAGCGAUAAAGGGGGUGAAAGGCCCCCUCGCCGUAAGCCCAAGGUUUCCUACGCAACGUUCAUCGGCGUAGGGUGAGUCGGCCCCUAAGGCGAGGCAGAAAUGCGUAGCUGAUGGGAAGCAGGUUAAUAUUCCUGCACCAUUGUUAAAUGCGAUGGGGGGACGGAUCGCGGAAGGUUGUCCGGGUGUUGGAAGUCCCGGUCCUUGCAUUGGAGAAGGCGCUCAGGCAAAUCCGGGCGCGGAAUUCAAGGGUGCGAGGCCAUUCACUUAGGUGAAGAAGCAAUCGGAAGUGGUUCCAAGAAAAGCCUCUAAGCUUCAGUUUAACAGGACCGUACCGCAAACCGACACAGGUGGGCGAGAUGAGUAUUCUAAGGCGCUUGAGAGAACUCGGGAGAAGGAACUCGGCAAAUUGGUACCGUAACUUCGGGAUAAGGUACGCCCCUGUAGCUUGAUGCCCCUGCGGGCAGAGGGUGAAGGGGUUGCAAUAAACUGGUGGCUGCGACUGUUUAAUAAAAACACAGCACUCUGCAAACACGAAAGUGGACGUAUAGGGUGUGACGCCUGCCCGGUGCCGGAAGAUUAAAUGAUGGGGUGCAAGCUCUUGAUUGAAGUCCCGGUAAACGGCGGCCGUAACUAUAACGGUCCUAAGGUAGCGAAAUUCCUUGUCGGGUAAGUUCCGACCUGCACGAAUGGCGUAACGAUGGCCACACUGUCUCCUCCCGAGACUCAGCGAAGUUGAAGUGUUUGUGAUGAUGCAAUCUCCCCGCGGCUAGACGGAAAGACCCCAUGAACCUUUACUGUAGCUUUGCAUUGGACUUUGAACCGAUCUGUGUAGGAUAGGUGGGAGGCUUUGAAGCGUGGACGCCAGUCUGCGUGGAGCCGUCCUUGAAAUACCACCCUGGUUUGUUUGAGGUUCUAACC
rnacentral:rRNA from 1 species